rnacentral:tRNA from 10 species
GGUGAGGUGUCCGAGUGGCUGAAGGAGCACGCCUGGAAAGUGUGUAUACGGCAACGUAUCGAGGGUUCGAACCCCUCCCUCACCGCCA